rnacentral:rRNA from 1 species
UACGAAGGGGGCUAGGGUUGCUCGGAAUUACUGGGCGGAAAGGGAGCGUAGGCGGACAGUUUAGUCAGAGGUGAAAGCCCAGGGCUCAACCUUGGAAUUGCCUUUGAUGCUGACUGUCUUGAGUAUGGGAGAGGUUAGCGGAACUCCGAGUGUAGAGGUGAAAUUCGUAUAUAUUCGGAAGAACACCAGUGGCGAAGGCGGCUAACUGGCCCAUUACUGACGCUGAGGCUCGAAAGCGUGGGGAGCAAACAGG